AACGAACGCUGGCGGCAUGCCUAACACAUGCAAGUCGAACGAGACCUUCGGGUCUAGUGGCGCACGGGUGCGUAACGCGUGGGAACCUGCCCUUAGGUUCGGAAUAACUCCCCGAAAGGGGUGCUAAUACCGGAUAAUGUCUUCGGACCAAAGAUUUAUCGCCUUUGGAUGGGCCCGCGUUGGAUUAGCUAGUUGGUAGGGUAAAAGCCUACCAAGGCGACGAUCCAUAGCUGGUCUGAGAGGAUGAUCCGCCACACUGGGACUGAGACCCGGCCCAGACUCCUACGGGAGGCAGCAGUGGGGAAUAUUGGACAAUGGGCGAAAGCCUGAUCCAGCAAUGCCGCGUGAGUGAUGAAGGCCUUAGGGUUGUAAAGCUCUUUUACCCGGGAUGAUAAUGACAGUAUCGGGAGAAUAAGCGCCGGCUAACUCCGUG
rnacentral:rRNA from 1 species